GUAGGUCCUCUCGUGACUGAAGUGGAUAUUCAACAUAUUGUGUCCUCCUGGACUGGAAUUCCAGUUGAGAAAGUGUCCACUGAUGAAUCAGACCGCCUCCUCAAGAUGGAAGAGACCCUCCAUAAGCGAGUGAUUGGUCAGGAUGAAGCAGUCAAGGCUAUUAGUCGUGCUAUUCGCCGAGCCCGUGUUGGACUGAAGAAUCCUAAUCGUCCUAUUGCCAGUUUCAUCUUUUCUGGUCCAACUGGGGUUGGGAAAUCUGAGCUCGCUAAAGCUUUGGCUGCUUACUACUUUGGUUCUGAAGAAGCCAUGAUUCGGCUUGAUAUGAGUGAGUUUAUGGAGAGGCACACUGUUUCCAAGCUCAUUGGUUCUCCCCCGGGUUAUGUUGGUUACACAGAGGGAGGUCAGCUGACUGAAGCCGUUCGACGCCGUCCUUACACUGUGGUGCUUUUUGAUGAAAUUGAGAAGGCUCAUCCCGAUGUCUUCAACAUGAUGCUUCAAAUACUCGAGGAUGGAAGAUUAACCGACAGCAAGGGCAGAACCGUGGAUUUCAAGAAUACACUUCUGAUAAUGACAUCUAACGUAGGAAGCAGUGUUAUUGAGAAGGGAGGCCGACGCAUAGGAUUUGACCUUGAUUAUGAUGAGAAGGAUAGCAGUUACAAUAGAAUUAAGAGCUUGGUGACAGAGGAACUAAAACAAUACUUCAGACCCGAGUUCUUGAACAGGUUGGACGAAAUGAUUGUUUUCCGUCAACUCACCAAGCUGGAGGUAAAGGAAAUAGCUGAUAUAAUGCUCAAGGAGGUAUUCGAAAGGUUGAAGAAGAAGGAGAUAGAGCUUCAAGUGACGGAGAGGUUCAGAGACAGAGUGGUUGACGAAGGAUACAACCCGAGCUACGGAGCCAGGCCUCUAAGAAGAGCGAUCAU
rnacentral:lncRNA from 1 species